UACGUAGGGUGCGAGCGUUAAUCGGAAUUACUGGGCGUAAAGCGUGCGUAGGCGGUUUGCCGUGUCCUGUGUGAAAGCCCCGGGCUCAACCUGGGAAUUGCAUGGGAAACUGGCAGGCUUGAGUGUGGCAGAGAGGGUGGAAUUCCGCGUGUAGCAGUGAAAUGCGUAGAGAUGCGGAGGAACACCGAUGGCGAAAGGCAGCCCUCUGGGCCAACACUGACGCUCAGGCACGAAGCGUGGGAGCAAACAGG
rnacentral:rRNA from 1 species